UCUAUGUUAGUGCUCACUUCGUAAAAUUCGAUAUAAGUUAUUUGGUAAUCAAUUGGUAUUCUUGUACAUAUAUUCGUAAACAAAUACCCGCACGUGUUUUCCUCCUCUUAUAUACGUGGACCUUUUUUUAGUUUGUUUAAGUGUACAGGUGAGUAUUAAACUCCAAGUUGAAAUUACAAUGUAUAUAUUUGAUUUCACAAUUCGUGUUCAUUAGAUUUUAGUUUUUUUUUCACGUAUUUAAUAUUAACUUUAAAGACUUGUAAGUUGUCACUAUAAAAUGCGUACAGAUUAAGUGAAGUUC